rnacentral:rRNA from 1 species
CUACGGGUCGCACCAGUGAGGAAUUUUGCGCAAUGGGGGAAACCCUGACGCAGCAACGCCGCGUGAGUGAUGAAGGCCUUCGGGUCGUAAAGCUCUGUCAAGUGGGAAGAACCCACCCUGUGCUAAUAUCACAGGGUGCUGACGGUACCACUGAAGGAAGCACCGGCUAACUCCGUGCCAGCAGCCGCGGUAAUACGGAGGGUGCAAGCGUUAUUCGGAAUUACUGGGCGUAAAGGGCGCGUAGGCGGCCUUUUAAGUCAGAUGUGAAAUCCCGGGGCUCAACCCCGGAAGUGCAUCUGAAACUAAGAGGCUUGAGUAUGGGAGAGGGAAGUGGAAUUCCUGGUGUAGAGGUGAAAUUCGUAGAUAUCAGGAGGAACACCGGUGGCGAAGGCGACUUCCUGGACCAAUACUGACGCUGAGGCGCGAAGGCGUGGGGAGCAAACAGGAUUAGAUACCCUUGUAGUC